rnacentral:misc_RNA from 1 species
UAUUCUCAACCCCUCUCGCACUUUCUCAAGUGCGGGCAUCGGUUGGACUUGGAGGCUUUGCGGGCGCUUCAACGGUCGGCUCCUCUGAAAAGCAUUAGCUUGAGACCCCUCCACCCAAGCAACGAUCCAGCGUGAUAAUCGUCUGCGCUGCUUCGCUUGUGGUGUCCGGGCGGCUUCCAACUGUCUGGUGUUCAGACAAAAUCCCCAUUCGAAC